GCCCGGGUUCCGUCCGGCGUCGGGCGAGCGGGCGGGCGGGUGCGGUCCGAAGGGUUCCGCCCCCCACCCCACCCCACCCCCGGUGGCUCGUUGCUUGCGGCUUCUGUUGCCCAGCGCUUUCGGACUCCUCCGGGGCCCCUCCGUGGCUUCCGGGGAGACGGAGCCAAAGUGUUGUUGCUUUGAGUAGUUGCGAGCGACCCCGGGUCUCAGGGAGGGCUUCAUUGCCGACUGAAGAAACCCAGCGACCUCGGCCUCCGGCUUACCCAGCUCUCCUGCCCGAGGGGCAAAGCCCCCUCCUCUUUUCUUUAGUUUGCACGGGAUGCGCUUUGACUCCGUGAACAGUCUCAUUGUGGUGGUGCCAGCCUUUAAAGCCCGCACCCAGGAGGCAGAGGCAGGAGAAUCUCUGAGCUCGAGCCCAGGCUGGUCUACACAUGGAAAGGCCGUAUUUUGAGGAAUACAUGUAAUGUGUUAAGGAGGCCACUGGAAAAGCCAGACACCCAGGGAAGAGCUCAGGGCUGACAGCCUGAGAGCUGGUCAUUCUGGGAAACCAGAGGCCUUGGCAGUCCCCAUCUGGCAUCUAAAACCUGGAAGGCUCCAGGAGAGUUCUGGAUCUUCAGCCCACCUUGGAAGCCUAAAGAAGCUGGAGUCUGAUGCCACCAGGGGUUGGAGGCAGCAGCAGGAGAGAGAUGCACUUAAGAGGUGAAGGCUGCAGGCUGGCCACACUGCAUAUACCAUGGAGGUCAGCACUGGGAUGCACUGCCCACACGGGAAGAGUCUCCCUGCCUCAGAGACAGACAGGACUUUCAGACCCUGAAUUGAACCCAGCACUCUGUGCACGCAAGAUGAGCAGUCUGCCAACUGAGCUCUAUAUCUGCAGUCCUACUGAAGCCUUUCUGGGCUGGUGAAGUGGCCAGCGGGUAAGAGUACUUUGUCUGCAAGCUUGAGGACUUGACUUGAAUCCCCAGCACAGACUUGGAAAUCCCAGAAUGGUUGGAUGUACCUGGAACCCAGCCUUGAGGUCAGAGACAGACGGAUUCCAAGAGCUCCUUGGCCAGUCAGCAUAGCUUAAAUGGUCUGGAGGGGUCAGAAGCCUUCACCAGCAGAUGGAGCAGAGGGAUUGCAAUCAUCUGCACCCGUCCCUCCAACAUCUAUAGUGGGCCUGAUCCGGGGGCAGGGGCAUUCCUCAAAAUUUAAAACCAGAGCCAACAGUGUGGUAGAUACUGUAAUCCUAGAGUCCGGUAGACUAAGGUAGGAGGAUCAGGAGUUUGAUGUUCACACUUGGACAUAAAGAUGAAAGCUUUAACCAUUACAUGACCCUGGAUAUAUUUUUUAUCUGAACCCAAGACUACUAUGAUGUCUUGAAAUGCCCACUGUUUGUAUUUCAUAAAAGGGAUCUGAAAAUUAAAGGGCUGACAAAAUUUUCACUUGAGGUCACAGGAAGAAAUGGUCCCACAAAACACACUUAAAGGGGCAGUGGGGAGGAAAAAGAAAUAACUCCCAGUGAUUCCUUUUCCAGUUCACACUUUAUCAGUCAAUUCUUGAUUUGAAACAGAUACACUGGAAUCUCCUGUUUCUCCUCUUGAGGUCUGCCUCUCCCUGUGGUCAUUCACUAGAACCAUCUCUGUGUGCGUUGGCUUUUGUUCUGUUGUCAUACAGUCCCUGGGAAACAUUCCAAAAGUUUGGACCACAUUUUCACGUUGGUAUUUGGUGUUGGGACCCGUCUUUUCUGCGUUAUUUCUUGUUUGUUUUCAUGACUUUUCCAUCGUUCUGAUCGUCACUCGUUGAUGAUUGUCUCGGCUGAUGUGGGCUGCCCAUAGUUAUCAGUAGACAAGCAGUGAUUGUCCCACAGAUCUGCCCUUCACAUCUAAGUGCUGCGUCUGUCCCUAGACUGUCAUAAAAACAAAAAACAAAAAACAAAAAACAAAACCAAACCACCUGCCUAAAAAGCAGAUGCCCAACAUUCUCUAUUCUCUUUGUCUAGACAAAGCAAGUGAAAGUUUAUUAACUUCAUGCUUACUGAAAUAUGGUUGAAGACAGUGUGUUUCCUCAGUUCAUACACACACUCACUCACUCACUCCUGGGGAAUUCCCUAACACAAGUCCUCUAAUAGCAAACAAAAGAAUAACUGAGAGCAAUUGAGCACACAAGGAGAACUGGGAAGUGAGUUACAGGGCUAUUCCUAAUGUGAAAGUCUAAAACCAAACUUCUGUAAAACCCCCAAAACAUUUUGAGAAACAGCAGGAUACUGCCGUGGAAAAUUCCACAACAGGCCCCACGUGACCAGCCUCAGCUAAAGUGCAGGUGCACUGAAAAAAUUACACCAAAUUACCUUAAGGCUAUGCGCAUAAAUUGCAAAAGAAACAUAAAGUGAUUUCCCUGGCUCAGCUUGUGUUCCAUCCCCAAGACCGCUUAUUGUGUAUGCAAACUUCCAAAAUCCAAGCAAAUCUGAAAUCUGGAACUCUUCUGGCUUCAAGUCCUUUGGAUAAGGGAUGCUAAAUGUGUAUCAACCAGAGAUGGCAGAUGAUGGAUGGAUGGAUGGAUGGAUGGAUGGAUGGAUGGAUGGAGUGUCUCGUCGGGGCUGUAGUCUAAUCCUGCCCCCCUGACUCAGUGAAGGGCCACUUCACCCAGGAAGUCCCUUUUUACACAAAAGUCCAUCCAUCAUACUCUUUCCUUUGGUUGACUCAUGUUUUGUGAUUUUUUUCUGGCUCCAGUUGUUCUUUCUGCCUCCCCGUGUGGCUUUGCAUGUGUUGUUCAGGUUGGUUUCAGACUGCAGGUCCUUCCGAAGCCUGCUGGGUGAUGGGGUUGCAGGGUUGUGGCCCCCACAAGCCACAGCUUCUGUCAUCUUGAGAGCUUCAUGGCUGUAACUCAGCGGCUUGUGGUGCUGCCCAUGCGUCAUGCCGUCAUCAGCAGCACCACGGAGCAAGGAGACCCCAUGCAUCAUGUUAACUGCUGGGGAGUGGUCCUGCCCCGGGAUCUGGCCGGCGAGACUGGUUUUCAGCGACAGGGGAGUUGGUACCUACAGAGGAUUUUGCCAGAGCCACUGCAGCUGUUCCCCAACAGGACCCCAGAGCCUCACUUUCCAACGUAGGCUGGGCAGUAGCCAUUCAGGACAAGCAUUCUCCUAACACUGAAUUCCUUAGCAAUUAUUUUUGGUAGCAUAAAUUGAUUGUAUAAGACAAUGGGUUUCUCUGUGCACCUGAGGUGCUGUGCCUGUGCUCACCUCCUGCAGUUUUGUGGCUAUGAAAAUGAAAGAAGAACUACAGGCCUGUUUGAUUCAGCUUCAGAACCUCCUCGGCAAACCGCCACCAGAAAUGUAAUCUCAGAAUUCCUUACAGCCAUCACCAGAGUCUCACAAUCUAGCAUUUUCCCAUUGUGAUCAGUUGUCUGAUCCUGGAGUCAUUUUUAUAGUCAGAAAAGCCCAUAGACCAACCGAGACUGAGACCUUCCUGAUGAAACGGAGAGUCCAUUUUCCAAGCAGUAUUUUUGCUGACAGUUCAGAGCUUCCUGACCCCUAGCUCUCCACAGUUUUGGAUGGAAGGGAGAAUAGCAACAGUCUUGUUAGGAAGAAUCCGUCUCUUUGAUGUAGCUGGAGCUGGAGUCCAGACCUGCAGACCGAAAGUUACUCAUGGCUGGCAGCCAGUUGGCUCACACUUGGCUUCAGGGAGUCUGAGCUUUAAAAAUAAGUAAUUCCUUUCUUCCCUGGGGUAGAGGUAGACUUAAUUAAUUUGUAAUUUGUAAUAUACUUUGAAGAAUAAAAGGGCUUUCUAGAAACAAUAAACAUGGUUACAACUUCUGUGUUUGUAAGCAAACUAUUAACACAAUUGAGGCCAUUUGCACAUCAAAAAUAAAGGAAGGCUUGUCUGUGUUCUGGUUGAUUUAAUAAAUGCAGAAAGAUGUAAUUCAUUUUGUAAAGUUGGCCUGUCCCUUCCCAGAGGAGGAGGCACUCUGGAAUAAACCAGUUUCUCUGUUUGCAGUUGUGUUCAGAUGAAUCAAAUGUCUGUAAAUGCUCAUUUUAACUCUGUAGGUACACUUACAAAGGUAUCAGAGCAGACAGUUUUUGCUCUUAAAACAAUAAAAAGAAAAACAAACAAACAAACAAAAUCUUCGGAGUAGUCUCUUCUGUAGACAGACAGAAGUGUUGCCAGAGUUAGGGCACUCAGACAGAAUAUGGAAGGUUUGAUUAAUUUGAAUUUCAGAAAAAAGACAACAUGUAAUAUUUUAGUAUAUUAUGAAAGAAC
ensembl:lncRNA